ACCAGAUCAGGGCGUGGGUGCCAAUCUUCUCACUUGGGCUGUUAGGAAGGUUUUCCUUUUUCUCUGUGGGUGUUGUUUUUACUCGGUUUCCAAUUCUGCUAUUCUUGACUCAGGUCCAAAAGCUAAUUUAUGGACCCACAGCUUCGGGUAGGAAGCAGAGGUUCCCCAUGACUCCCGUCAACUUCUCCUUUCUCCUGUUUCAGCCUCAGCCAAAGUGUCCACCUUGCCUGACCUGUCACAGAGCCUCACAUAGGCUCUGUCCUCUUUUGAGUCACUCUGUGCCAGAACAGCGUCUGGGCUUUGCAUCUGCAUGGGGUCCCUUGCAGGAAGGAUGCUAGGUCCUUGUGGAUUACUCCGAUGGUCCCCUCACCUGUUGAGUGCACCUGGAUGUGGCUACCCUCCAUUGGGCAGGCACCUGACCACUCUCUGACACACCAAAAAGGAGGAGCCUCUCCAGGUACAGGUGACAGCAACAGUCCUCAUCUUCUUGAGCAUUGGCUGUCACAUAGGGAGCACAGAACCUUGGCAUCUGGGGACAAGAGGAAAAAGAAGUAUAGAUGCCUAGAGAGGACCUGCAGAAUAAAGACGUCUGUGCACAGACCAGAGAACACUGCAGGCCGAAAGGAAACUGGGCAAGAAAGGACGUUUGUAUCACAAGAAGAUGACACAAGGAGCGUGAAGGAGAGCUGUAAGGACCCCCUGGGCCUCCAGAGCAUAAAUCUACUAGAAACACACUCUGAAUGCCUUGCAGCAUGGCUGAAAUUGUAGUGUAAAACAAUCUCUUGAGCAGACCAGUGGAAAUUGAAUUUCAUGGAAAUUUAAACAACUAGUUGGAAAAUG